UCAGAUCUAGGGCAAGCGAAGAUCAAGCAAGUCACUCAUUCGCCUACACAAACACUCCCUUCCAGCGAGAGAGAGAGAGAGAGCGCGAGAGAGAGAAAGAGAGAGAGAGAGAGAGAUUGAAAAUGGUGCAGCGUCUGACCUACAGGNAGCGCGAGAGAGAGAAAGAGAGAGAGAGAGAGAGAUUGAAAAUGGUGCAGCGUCUGACCUACAGGAAGCGCCACAGUUAUGCUACCAAAUCCAACCAGCACAGGGUUGUUAAAACCCCUGGU
rnacentral:lncRNA from 1 species